GACGAACGCUGGCGGCGUGCUUAACACAUGCAAGUCGAACGGGAUCCAAAGGCUUUUUGUUUUUGGUGAGAGUGGCGAACGGGUGAGUAACACGUGAGUAACCUGCCCCCUUCUUUUGGAUAACCGCAUGAAAGUGUGGCUAAUACAGGAUAUUCCAGGCUGGUCGCAUGAUUGGUUUGGGAAAUGGUUUGGUCUGGUGGGGGAUGGGCUCGCGGCCUAUCAGCUUGUUGGUGGGGUGAUGGCCUAACAAGGCGGUGACGGGUAGCCGGCCUGGGAGGGUGGGCGGUCACACUGGGACUGCGAUACGGCCCAGACUCCUACGGGAGGCAGCAGUGGGGGAUAUUGCACAAUGGGCGCAAGCCUGAUGCAGCGACGCCGCGUGAGGGAUGAAGGCCUUCGGGUUGUAAACCUCUUUCGCUGGGUUGAAAGGCCAUGCUUGGGGUGUGGUUGAUUUGAACUGGUAAAGAAGUACCGGCUAACUACGUG
rnacentral:rRNA from 1 species